ensembl:antisense Gm28782 predicted gene 28782
AUGGUCUUCCUGAUGUGGCCCAGAUCUGAGCCACUUCUUGCAGAAGACCAGCCUGUGUAGAGUAAGAACCUGCAUGCAUCCCAGAGAACAAAAUGCAGACUUGUUCCCUGACAAGUGCAGAGAGAACUGUAAGAGCACUUCCUGAACACCAGCGGCGUGAGAAGGAUGAAACAUCCCUCACAUGAAAAUCUAUAAGCUGAGCAUUCACAAGCAUGCUGACAGUGCGGCCUGGAUCGCUGGGUAGCUGACUGGGGUACCUCUAGCUUCCCAUGCACUACUUCAAAAUCUGAAAAGCUCAAAAACCUAAGACAACUCAGACCCUGAGCAUUUUGAAUAAAGACUGAUAUAGUAAAGAGAGCUAUAAAUUCUAAACUCUGUUAUAAUAUUUUUAAGAAAUAAAUCAGAAAACCCAAA